rnacentral:rRNA from 1 species
UACGUAGGGGGCAAGCGUUGUCCGGACUUACUGGGCGUAAAGCGCGUGCAGGCGGAUUGGUAUGUGCCGUGUGAAAGCUCCCGGCUUGCCCGGGAGAGGUCGCGGUAGACAGCCGAUCCGGAGGCUCGGAGAGGUUCGUGGAAUUCCCGGUGUAGUGGUGAAAUGCGUAGAUAUCGGGAGGAACACCAGUGGCGAAGGCGACUACCUGGCCUGUUCUUGACGCUGAGGCGCGAAAGCUAGGGGAGCAAACGGG